rnacentral:rRNA from 1 species
UCCUCCCUCUUUCUUCGUGCUUCCCCCCUGCACGUCGACCGGAAAGGCCCUGCUUUUGUGGGGUGCUCGAGUGGGGAACGGGUGAGUAACACGUGAGUAACCUGACCUUCACUUUGGGAUAACUUCAGGAAACGAGGGCUAAUACCGUAUAGGAUCUCCUGUUGCAGGGUGGGGGUGGGAAAGUUUCAGCGGUUGGGGAUGGAUUCGCGGCUGACCAGUUAGUUGGUGGGGUAGUGGCAUACCAAGGCUUUGAAGGGUAGCCGGCCUGUGAGGGUGACCGGCCACAUUGGGCCUGAGAUACGGCCCAGACUCCUAUAGGAGGCAGCAGUGGGGAAUAUUGCACAAUGGGCGGGAGCCGGAUGCAGCGACGCCGCGUGCGUGAUGCCGCUCGUCGGGUUGUAAAAAGCUUUCGCCUGUGACGACGCGUGACUGACGGUAAUGGGUAAAGAAGCACCGGCUAACUACGUG